rnacentral:sRNA from 1 species
GCUGGGCAUGGUGGCACAUACCUGUAAUCCCAGUAACAUAGAGGCUGAGACAGGAGGUUGGGAGUUCAAAGCCAUCCUCAGCAAAAGUGAGGCACUAAGCAACUCAGUGAGACCCUGUCUCUA